AGGGGACUAUUAACAACAAAAUAUGAAGGCUGGCUUCGCGGCCGGCUGAAGUAUUUUAUUUUGUCACCCAUGAUCUUUUGCGCACUUGUUGUUUCCUGGGCGGGUUCGCCCGCCACCAGGACCAAACCAUAAACCUUUUAUUUUUAUGUAGUUGCAAUCAGCGUCAGUAAAAACAAUGUAAUUAUUACAAUCUUUCAACAACGGAUCUCUUGGUUCUGGCAUCGAUGAAGAACGCAGCGAAAUGCGAUACGUAGUGUGAAUUGCAGAAUUCAGUGAAUCAUCGAAUCUUUGAACGCACAUUGCGCCCUUUGGUAUUCCAAAGGGCAUGCCUGUUCGAGCGUCAUUUGUACCUUCAAGCUUUGCUUGGUGUUGGGCGUUUGUCUCUCGUUCUCGGGAGACUCGCCUUAAAACGAUUGGCAGCCGGCCUACUGGUUUCGGAGCGCAGCACAUAUUUUGCGCUUUCGUAUCAGGAGAAAAGGACGGUAAUCCAUCAAGACUACAUUUUUUAACUUUUGACCUCGGAUCAGGUAGGGAUACCCGUGAACUUAAGCAUAUCAAUAAG
rnacentral:rRNA from 1 species